rnacentral:snoRNA from 12 species
GGCCUUUGUGUUGCCCGUUCACCUUCCGAAACUGGUGAACGCGGUGUCAGAAAAGGCGGAAAGCAAGGCCCUGGCGGCGCUUCCUGCCCGGACCGUGGGUCUGGGGCGCGCGCCGCCGGGUCACAGUU